rnacentral:rRNA from 1 species
GGGUCAGUAGGUUGGUCGUGCCACCGGUACGUACUGGUCUCACUGAUUGCUCCUUCCUGAAGUACCGUAAUGCCAUUAAUUUGGUGUUGCGGGGAAACAGGACUGUUACUUUGAAAAAAUUAGAGUGUUUAAAGCAAGCUAACGCUUGAAUACAUUAGCAUGGAAUAAUGAAAUAGGACGAUCGAUCCUAUUUUGUUGGUUUCUUGGAUUGACGUA